rnacentral:rRNA from 1 species
UACGUAGGGGGCAAGCGUUGUCCGGAAUCAUUGGGCGUAAAGAGCGUGUAGGCGGUCCGGUAAGUCGGCUGUGAAAGUCCAGGGCUCAACCCUGGGAUGCCGGUCGAUACUGCCGGACUAGAGUUCGGAAGAGGCGAGUGGAAUUCCCGGUGUGAGCGGUGAAAUGCGCAGAUAUCGGGAGGAACACCUAUGGCGAAGGCAGCUCGCUGGGACGUUACUGACGCUGAGACGCGAAAGCGUGGGGGAGCAAACAGG